AAUGGCAAAGUCACCAACCUGUAAUAUGACAUUCUGGUAAGCAUAAAAUAUAAAAAUAUAAAAAUUCACCAUUAACCAAAAAUUCUAUUUGACAUGUUUGCGCAUAAAAGAAGAUAAUGAGCUCAAUUAAAUCUCAAAAUUUACACAUAUGAAUAUAAGCUCUAUACUCCUACAAUCUUUUACCGAAAAAGCAUUAGAUUGAUUAGAUGAACAGUAUCACACACAAUUUCAAUGCUGUCCAUCCAAUAUAUAUUUAAGGUUUUGCAAAUUUCAAGUAGUAUAGAAAAGGAAAGAGGUAAGCAGAGGGCAAAAUCAUUUUCUUGAUAAAUUUUUUAAGUUUUGUUGAAUUUAUCAUUACACUACAGAAUAGCCCUUUCUA
rnacentral:misc_RNA from 1 species